GGCCGUGUGGCGAAACGGCAUCGCGUCUGACUACGACAGUCUAAAGCGGGUAUCAGGAGAUUGCAGGUCCGACCCCUGGCUCGGUCA
rnacentral:tRNA from 1 species